CCUACGGGGUGCAGCAGUCGAGAAUCAUUCACAAUGGGGGAAACCCUGAUGGUGCGACGCCGCGUGGGGGAAUGAAGGUCUUCGGAUUGUAAACCCCUGUCAUGUGGGAGCAAAUUAAAAAGAUAGUACCACAAGAGGAAGAGACGGCUAACUCUGUGCCAGCAGCCGCGGUAAUACAGAGGUCUCAAGCGUUGUUCGGAAUCACUGGGCGUAAGGCGUGCGUAGGCUGUUUCGUAAGUCGUGUGUGAAAGGCGCGGGCUCAACCCGCGGACGGCACAUGAUACUGCGAGACUAGAGUAAUGGAGGGGGAACCGGAAUGCUCGGUGUAGCAGUGAAAUGCGUAGAUAUCGAGAGGAACACUCGUGGCGAAGGCGGGUUCCUGGACAUUAACUGACGCUGAGGCACGAAGGCCAGGGGAGCGAAAGGGAUUAGAUACCCUUGUAGUC
rnacentral:rRNA from 1 species